GACGAACCGUACAAACGUUAUUCGGAAUUACUGGGCUUAAAGGGUUUGUAGGCGGCCUUGUAAGUCAGGUGUGAAAUCCCGGGGCUCAACCCCGGAACUGCAUCCGAUACUGCCAUGCUUGAGGGUUGGAGAGGUAGCUGGAAUUCUCGGUGUAGCAGUGAAAUGCGUGGAUAUCGAGAGGAACACUCGUGGCGAAGGCGAGCUACUGGACAACAUCUGACGCUGAGGCUCGAAGGCUAGGGGAGCAAACAGG
rnacentral:rRNA from 1 species